AGCUCGUACUCCCCGAAAUGCAUUUAGGUGCAGCGUCGUGGUUAUUGUUAUAGAGGUAGAGCUACUGAUAGGGCUAGGGGGCUUCACCGCCUACCAAACCCUGACAAACUCCGAAUGCUAUAAAAUGUUGUUGAGCAGUGAGGGCAUGGGUGCUAAGGUCCAUGUCCGAGAGGGAAAGAACCCAGAUCAUCAGCUAAGGUCCCCAAGUGUAUGCUAAGUUGACAAAACGCGGUAAAACUGCAUUGACAGCCAGGAUGUUGGCUUGGAAGCAGCCAUUCAUUUAAAGAGUGCGUAACAGCUCACUGGUCGAGCGGUUUUGCAUGGAUAAUAAUCGGGCAUAAGUAUACCACCGAAGCUAUGACUUUGUCUUAUGACAAGGGGUAGGGGAGCAUUCUAUGGGCAUUGAAGGUGCUGGCGUGAGCCGUGCUGGAGCGCAUAGAAACGAAAAUGUAGGCAUAAGUAACGAUAAUGCGGGCGAGAAACCCGCACGCCGAAAGACCAAGGUUUCCCCAGCUAUGCUAAUCAGCUGGGGGUCAGUCGGGACCUAACGCGAACCCGAACGGGGUAGUGGAUGGACAAUCAGUUAAUAUUCUGAUACCUGCUCACAUUAAAAGUGACGGGGAUGAGGCGUUGGUGCGAAGAGACGGAAUUCUUCGUUGAAGGUAGUGGAAGCUACUGAUAGUACACUGAGGCUUCGGCCAAGGUGAUAAUCCAGCUUAUCAUCCUCCAAGAAAAACAAGUGAAGCAGCCCGUACCGUAAACCGACACAGGUGGUUGGGAUGAGUAUUCUAAGGCGCUCGAGUGAUCCGUGGCUAAGGAACUAGGCAAAAUCGCCCCGUAACUUCGGGAGAAGGGGCUCCCCAAUGCAAAUUGGGGACGCAGUUAAAAGGCCCAGGCGACUGUUUAUCAA
rnacentral:rRNA from 1 species